rnacentral:rRNA from 1 species
CACGCAGGCGGUUUGUUAAGUCAGAUGUGAAAUCCCCGCGCUUAACGUGGGAACUGCAUUUGAAACUGGCAAGCUAGAGUCUUGUAGAGGGGGGUAGAAUUCCAGGUGUAGCGGUGAAAUGCGUAGAGAUCUGGAGGAAUACCGGUGGCGAAGGCGGCCCCCUGGACAAAGACUGACGCUCAGGUGCGGAAGCGUGGGGAGCAAACA